rnacentral:rRNA from 1 species
UGGGGAAUUUUGGACAAUGGGCGAAAGCCUGAUCCAGCAAUGCCGCGUGUGUGAAGAAGGCCUUCGGGUUGUAAAGCACUUUUGUCCGGAAAGAAAUCCUUGGCUCUAAUACAGUCGGGGGAUGACGGUACCGGAAGAAUAAGCACCGGCUAACUACGUGCCAGCAGCCGCGGUAAUACGUAGGGUGCAAGCGUUAAUCGGAAUUACUGGGCGUAAAGCGUGCGCAGGCGGUUUGCUAAGACCGAUGUGAAAUCCCCGGGCUCAACCUGGGAACUGCAUUGGUGACUGGCAGGCUAGAGUAUGGCAGAGGGGGGUAGAAUUCCACGUGUAGCAGUGAAAUGCGUAGAGAUGUGGAGGAAUACCGAUGGCGAAGGCAGCCCCCUGGGCCAAUACUGACGCUCAUGCACGAAAGCGUGGGGGAGCAAACAGGAUUAGAUACCCUGGUAGUCCACGCCCUAAACGAUGUCAACUAGUUGUUGGGGAUUCAUUUCCUUAGUAACGUAGCUAACGCGUGAAGUUGACCGCCUGGGGGAGUACGGUCG